AUGGGGAAUGACUCGUAUGCUUCUAUUCAUGAUGUUGACACGGUUGAUCUGAAGUUUACUUCGGCAAAGAUCAUGGAACUGAAGAACGUGCAACAUGUCCCCGCCAUCAAGAAGAAUCUCGUUAUGACUCUUCUAUGUAAAGAAGGUUUAAUUUUAGUAUUCGAUUCAAAUGAAGUAGUUGUAUCUCGGUAUGGACUAUUUGUUGGAAAAGGAUAUGAUUACGGAGUUUUGUUCCACCUUCCCCUAGCAGAUUUAUGUAAUAAAGUUGUGGACCAAAUUCAUUCUAGUGUGAACGAAUAUGAGGUUUGA
rnacentral:rRNA from 1 species